UACGAAGGUGGCAAGCGUUGUUCGGAAUUACUGGGCGUAAAGGGCGCGCAGGCGGCUGCUCAAGUCAGGCGUGAAAGGCCUGGGCUCAACCCGGGAAUUGCGCUUGAGACUGGGCUGGCUUGAGUGCGGGAGAGGAUGGUGGAAUUCCCAGUGUAGAGGUGAAAUUCGUAGAUAUUGGGAAGAACACCGAUGGCGAAGGCAGCCAUCUGGACCGACACUGACGCUGAGGCGCGAAAAGCGUGGGGAGCAAACAGG
rnacentral:rRNA from 1 species